AUGUGUCUCAGUCUGAAACUGCGAUCCCCUUCCCACUGCCUAAGGAAGACACUGAUCUGCACCUGCACUGGGGAAGCAAAGCAUCUGAGGAACACCAGUUUGGAUUCAGGAGGCCACUUAUGUCAGACUUCUUCCCACCGUAACACGCCAGAACAGUACAAGAAGGAAAUAUUCCUGGAGGAGGAAUGUCUUUUACUAGUGAAGAUGCAAAUCACUCCUAUUUUAGAUGCCUCAGUGAAGUGCCUAAAGUCACAAGGAAGGGAGCUAGAACAUCAGUCUGCAUCUGUUGUCUUCUGCAGGGAGUUGUCAUCAGUCAUCUUGUCUGCAGAAACAGGUUACAUCCAGAUGUCCCAGAUCAUUCAAAUCUAAUCCAUGAGUCUGAACCUUUGAAGAAGAUCUGCUCCCAGAGGGACUGUGAACUUUGCAUCUUUGACCUACCUGUUAUUUAUUAUGAAAGAUCUUCAUGAACCAAGCCCAAACCAUAGCACAGUCAACAAGAACUGCAACAGCGACUUCAGUGGACUUUGGGUCAAAUCUUGUUGCAAACUACAAAAAAGGAAAACACACAUGCAAAGAAUACACCAAAAUAAAUAAAUAAAUGAUGGGAUGUUCA
rnacentral:lncRNA from 1 species